rnacentral:lncRNA from 1 species
UGCCGUCUAAAUAUAAUUCACAAAAUUGAUAGAGGUGUGUUCACCAAAAAAACUGAGAUGUUAGUUGUUUUUGCAAAUCGAUUCAAGGCUGCAAUAGAUUUCUUCGCCUGUCACACACCAAUACAAAGUCAUGUAUGAUGUACCACAAAACCGGUAAUAAUAAAGUAAAUAACAAGUCAAAACAAAAUCCAAAAAGACAUUCAUAUUUCAAAUACAAGACAUCUUAAACAUUCAAUAAAGAAUAUGGGUGUUGCUUAGAGAGAACAAAAGAGGUUGAGGGUUCAAAGUUCAAAACACUCUUGAUUUAGAGUAAAAGAGAAAAUAACGGAGGAUGGGUGUCACCAGAAAUACUGCAUGAUGUGGAUGCGUGUUGGUCGAAGUCAAACAGCAUGGGUGUCACACAAUUGGUAAAAGCAUGGGAAACUACAUCUGAUUAGGGGUUUUUGAAUAUUCUAAAAAAGAGGGGGGAUAACAACUUUGCUCCUAAUUUCACACACAUCACUCAGUGAGUCACAGUUUUGAGUUCGUGAAGAACCCUAGGGGUCUCAAGCUCUUCCUCUCAGUCGUGCUGGCGGUCGUCCCGACAAAGUGCGUGGUUCCCAUGUGUGGCUUCAUUCCCAAGGUGGAGUGGAAGCGAAGGCUGGUGCUAGCGAGCCCGCGGAGGACAAUGGCGCGUCCAUGCCGCCACGGCACAGGAGCUGCUGCGAAUUUGUGGGGAGAUGCAGGGGAGGUACGAGGAGGUAGAGGUGCGCUGCUGGUGGCGCACUGGCGGACCUGGCCGUCACUGAGGGGUGCUUGUUCGAGGGCCACGACGGAGAUUUCGGGUAGGCGUUGGAGGUUCUUGAUGGCUUUUCCUCUGCUCUCUCUAGAACCUUCAGCUGAGUGACGAUGACCUCAUGGAAAGACGGAGGCUUUUGAAAAUAACGUCUUUGAAUACUUAUAUAGACGACGGUCUUAAAUUAAAAAUCAUCCUUGAUUUACUGUUUCAUCUGUAUAAGGGCGGUUUUCCUGAAAACCGUGUUUGAAAUAUUUCUUAUAUUUAUAAAAAUGUUACGGCUUUGAAAAUAGAGACGGU